CUUUCAUGCUCUUAAAGGUUUCCAAGGGGAAACUGCCUGCUCCUGUAACAAGCCCAUUCAUUUCCACCAGGAGAGCAGCAACAGCAAGAAGAGAACAUGAUCUGGGGGGUGACGAUCCCUGACGAUGGAUGUUGCUUUCCAUAUAGAUGUGCUCAA